rnacentral:lncRNA from 1 species
CUGGAAUGGUAUACGCAAUGAAAUUUUCUCACAUAAGCAAUAGGGACUUGGUCAACAUGGCGAAUAAGAGGGUGAAUGCUAUUCCUUUUUUUAAAUCAUUUUUGCAAACCACGUUGAGAAAGGCCAACCUCCUAUGUACCGUACUCUUUUUGUACCUCGAAAGGGAGAGCGGGACCAAGCAUGUUCUCGCCAGAAGUAGAACACCGUAUUUCUUCUAUCGUGAUUAAUCUUCCAUCUACUCAUCCAUCUACAUAUAGUGUGUGUGCAUAAUCUGAACAAGGUGUUGCUCAUGCCAUUAUAUGAGGGAAAAUAGACUUGGAAAAGGAACCAUGGCCAAGCAUUCAGAAAGUGUCGAGAGUCUUGUAUGAAAGAUAUUGGAGCCACAUCCUAAGCUUCGACUCACUACAAAACAAUUUCUGGGUAAAAUAUUGUUCGCGUUUGCUAAGUUAUUUAAUCAAUAUAAAAUCCUUUUCAUUAUGCUGUAAAUCAAUUUGUUCGAACAAUCUUCAUUCUCUAAUCUUCUAUUUCAGGCUUUGUGCAAUUUACCUAUUUCUUGGGGCUUUAGUGUUCAUUUUUUGCUUGGUUGCCUCUUUGCCGAAUCUUGACAUGUUUUCUAUUUUUAAGUUUGUCAACACAAUUCUUUUGCUCUUGAUUUGUGUUCCAUUAUGCAUGUAUAAUUGAUUCCGCUCCAUAGUAAAUUUAGUUUCAAGGAAAACUUAAAAAUAUCUAAUAAUUUAAAAAUUUUGUAGUUCAACAAAGUGUCUAGCUGGUUAUUUAUUGCUAACAAUAAAUAUCAAACAAGUUGGCCAUGAGAACCAUACUCCAUAAGGGGAAAAAAUGAUCUUUGCACUAUCAGAUUGAGUGGAGUAGUUGUUGUACUCAAUGUUUUUAAAAUCAACUCGGUCAUCAACCCGAAAAAGAGAAAAGGGUCAAGGGUCGAAAGGUCGAAUCAGGGUCGAACCGGGAUUGAACCGGUGACUUUCAUAAAAUCAAAAUGAAAAAUAUACAUUUAUAAAGAAGGGAAAAAAUGAAAAGCAAAUAUUGAAAUCAAAUCACAAAACAAUAAAAAAUAUUUCUAUAAGCAAAUUUCGAUCACAAGUGUAGCAAAAACCAAACAAAUUUUUGAAAAACAAUAGGCUUUGGCUCCAUUCAAUGGUUGACAAACUUGUUCUCUUCGUUAAUUCAUUUGCCUCUCUCUCUCUCUCUUCUCAAGUGUAUUAACCAUUUUGUGGGUUUAAUCUCAAACAUAGUUUUCUUUAAUCUGAAGCUUUAUUUGUGAAUUGCCUUCUGCUGUUUCUGGGUAUUGAUUUGCAAACAAAAAUGGCUGUAACUUUAUAACUCUCUCUUUCAUUUUUAUUGUUUCAAAGUUUUUUCGAACAAUCUGGAUUACCAAUUAUCACACAAACCAUCUCAAAAAAAAAAAAAAAAUGAUUAAUUCCAUCAACUCAUUAUCAUUUAUAGGAAGCACAAACAACAAAACCCAACAAAUUUUUUAAAAUCUGAAAUUAGAUAUGAAAAUAUUAAAAAAAAAAAAAAAGCCAACAUAUUAUUUGAAACUUACAGAAUAUGAAACAAAAUCUUAAGUAAUUAAUGCAUUCAUACUUGAAUUAUUAUGAUAUAUUAACGCCUAUAUGCACCAAGUACCCUUAUAUUUUGAUUUAGGUUGCAAAUGGAUGGAUACAGUAGAAUUCGGGAGGAAAAGAACGAAAAUUGAUAAAAAUGAAAGCAAGUGAAAGUUCAAAAACCUGCAAAGAUGAGAAGGGCGAUGGAAAUAUGAUUUGACAAUGCUGGGGGUCAAUUGAUUGCAAUUAGAAGUCAAAAGAAGUGAAAUAUGAUCAUAACAUUUUCACAAGUCAAUUUUCAACUGCACAAGAAUAUUCUAGAUUUUUAGUUAGAGAUUGUGAUCUAUUUUUGAGCUAGUAAACUUUUGAAUUGGGAAAGAACUAUUUCAAGCAAAACUGUAUCCUUCUUGUUAGCUUUCCAAUACACUUUGAAUCGCCUCAAUCAGACAUUGGAAGAAAAAGUUAUGGCCAAAAUAUAGAAAACUGUCUGGUAAAAAAAGGGUAGGAACCAUGCGAUCGCAUGGUGUUAAUUGCAUGUGGUCGUAUAUAGGUGUGCAGGGAAUUUCAGGUAUGAAAUUGAUUCAAUGUUGCAACCACAACUUUGUACGUUGCGGUCGCAUAAAACAACUAUGGUUGCGAUUUUUCAGUUUCAUAAUUCCGUUCAACCACUUAUGGAAACAAAUCUCUGCACCAUAUAUAAGCACUAAAUCUUGUCUAAGAUCGGGAGAAUGCUCUCAUACACUUUUCUCUCAUCUUGGUGCUCAAAAAACUCCAUGAAGAACUAAAAUCGAGGUGAAGCUAGGAAGGAACUCUUUGGAUUUGGUAAUUUCACAUUCAUUAUUUCAUGUAUUCUGGUUUAUCAUUGUUAAACAAUUCUAGUAUUUAGAUUUUCAUUCUUAUGAAAUUACAUUGAAAUCGGUUUAACAUUUACAAGAUUUUUCAUGGAUUCAGUCAUAGUUUUUUCAUUGUUAAAUUAAAUUAUUUGUUGAGUUUCAAUUUCAAUUACUUAUUGUUGAGAUUAUUUUAACUUUUAUCAAAUUCUUUAUAAAUCUAGUCAUGCUUUUUCUAUCGAAAGAUCGAAAUAAUUGUUGAAUUUUAAUCUUAAUAUUACUUUAUUGACAGAUUAAUUACUGCAUUAUGCUUGAUGUAUAUGGUAGAUCUUUGAUCUUGUUCCAACAAAAAUGUGCGAAUAUGUUAUAAGUCUAAAUUUUAGGAUUGCAUUGUGAGUUAAAUUGAUCUUUAUUGUUAAAUCUUUCGAUUAGAGAGUUGAGAUGAAAAUUCUCCAAUUGAGUAAUAAAAAUGAAUAAUAAAUGUGAUUGACCCAAUCCAAUUGAGGGAAUUUCAACGCUUCACCAUCUCAAGACAUUAACCUUAAUUUCAUUACUUUAACAUUGAAUUCUCCUACACAUUUCAAGAGGACAAUCAACCUUUUUGGAUUCUUCGAUUAUUUUUCCAUCUCCUUGUGGAAUCGACACCCCAAAGCUAUACUACAACUAUCGCGUUAUUAUUUGGGCGUAAUGAAUAACUGAGCAAUCCGUUGAAGUAUCUGCCAUGUUAUGAAAUUUUGUGCGCAGUCCAUAGUAUCAAAGAUAUGCUCGUGCUUGCUUAGGAAUGUCAAUUUUUGGACACUUCUUAAACGUGCUCUUGAACCUCUCCCAUACCUCGAAAUAUGUCUCAAUAUCCAUUUGCUUGAAAGUAUAAACUUUAUUCCGAAUUUGAUGGACUCGAGAUUGCGAGAAGAAUUUCAUUGUAAAGUUUUGCAACAUGUCAUUCCAAGAUAAUAUGCUCCCCGAAGGUAAUGAGUAGAGCCAUGCUUUUGCGCUAUCCUUCAAAGUAUGAUCGAAUAAACACAUUCGAAAGACAUCUAAUGACAUCCCCUCAUGGCUGAUGACUACAUGUAACAUUUGAAAAGCUUGGAUAUGCUUGUGUGAAUUUUAUGUAGUUUUCUCGAAAGGUUUAAUGUUAUGAUGAUUCCGAAAGAGAUUGAUGACACUGGUAUGAUUUAGAAGUUAGCCUAUUCGAAGGAUGAAAUGAUAGGAGGUAACACUAGUACAUGCAUUGGAUUCACAUAAUCUCCUACUAGUAUUCGAUCCUCGUUGGAAAUAGGUAUCUGUAGAGCUGGUGGUGGUUGUUAAAUCAAAUGCUGAAUAUGAUUUUUGAUUUUGAUUCUCAACCAUUAGCUUGCUUUUCUUUGUUCUCUUCUGCGUUGUCUAAAUGUGCUUUCGAUUUUGGGGUCUACUCGAGUUAGAUAAUCUUGUUAGAAUCUUGUAGAAGCUGAUGACAACUUGAAAGAAGUGAAGCAGAAAGAAUUUAGAUAAUACAAUGAAUAACCUAAAAAAAAGGAGAAAAAGAAAAAAAAUAUCGAAUCUAAUAUAAACUAAUAAACUAAAAUUAAAACUAUUAUUUCUUGACAACGACGCCAAAAACUUUUUUGGUAAAAUCCCUAAAGCGCACGGGUUCGUUGACAAGUAAUAGAUAAUGUAAAUUUAGAGUUAUUAGCCCAUGAGGAAUAGUGUUUAAUUUUGAUCUACUAGUUAUUAUCAAGUUUGAUAAAGAGUAAUAUUAAAAGAGAUUUUUUUUUUUUUUUUGUGAUUUUGUAAUCUAACUUUAACUAAGAAAGCAAUUAAGAGUGGCUUUUAGCAAAUAUGUGAUGAACGUGUUGGAUUUCUGAAUCCCAUUAUUAGUGUUAUUUCCAAUUCUCGACCCAUAAAAAAUAGUAUUAUUUUCCGAAUGUUAAUGAAAAUCAAUAAUUCAAUUUAUUUAAUAUCAUUUUCCAAGAGAAUCAAACCUAUGCUUAACACAAUCUGAUUUUAUUCCUAGUCUAAAUUCAUAUGAAAAACAUGCAUUUAAUGACAUGAUUUUUCACGCGAUUGCAAACGCUAUACAUAUUAUUCAUAAUAUUUAUUGUCCAUGUGUUAAAUAUGCAGUAUUUUACCUAUUGUGAGCCUCCCAAUACUAUAAAUAGGCAAUAAGUUAUCUAAAUAGUGAUCGAGCAUUCAAAUAACACGAUGUAGAUGCAUAAAUAAUCAAGAAAUUCAAGAAAUUACUAAAUUAACGAGUCUUGAAUUAAAAACAACUAAUAAGGUUCGUCAUCUAUCUAAUACAAUAAAAAACUUAGUCUAACAUUUUUAUAAUUAAAUUACACAAGAAUAAUUGAAAAAAAUAUCAAUUAGGAAUCAGAAAUAUUAAUUAGGAGUUUUAUUUAUUUAUUUAUUUAUUUAUGUUCUAGACUUAAAUCUUGAAAUGGAGCUAUGAAUUUUCAAAAUCCUUGUAUUAUUUACCUUGGAUAGAUGUAUAGACUUAUUCUUUACCUCCAAAAUAUGUAAAAUAUGAUGAAAUUUGGGUUGAAUGCAAGAUCUCUACAUUAUGGUUGAAUUUUGGUAUUUAAAAGGUGCUAAAAAGAUUGCAUUGAAUUGUUACCAAAACAAAAAUAAGGAGAAUCGGAUUUUUUCCAUUUAGGCAUAGCCAAGGCGUGCAGCUAGCUUGUUUGGGGAGCCUCAGAGCCAAAAGUAUCUCCUCUACAGGUCUAGGCACGCGCCAAGGAUUUUACUGAUCAAUUUUCAGUAUUUUUUAUCAUAACUUUCUUUCUCAAUAUUCGAUUGAGGUGAUUAAAAAUGUGUAGGAAAACUAACUCUUGAGGUGAUUAAAAAUGUGUUGGAAAGCUAACUGAAAGGGAUACAAGAAUAUCAUUUUUCAAAUUCGCAAUUUGCUAUGCCAAAAAGUGUAUCAAUUUGAGGCUAAAAAUCCAAAGUAUAACUCUUUUGGAUAGAAAUUGAUGUUUCAUAAUAUUUUGACUAUAUUUCAUUUUUUUUUAUACUUCUAUUCUCGUCCAAUUGACCUAUAGCAUUCUCAAAUCUUCAUCUUGAGGUCCGUCACAACUUUUGAAUAUUUGUACUUUAGUCCUCAUCUUGAGGUCCGUCACAACUUUUGAAUAUUUGUACUUUAGUCCUCACACUUUUGAAUUUCGCCAUUCUUCUCUAUUUUAGCUCGUUUUCUCCAAUUCUUUACCCAAAUAUGAGUUUUACCUAUUAAACACAAUAAAUAACAAAUUAGAUAGUAUGUCAAUUAAGGAAUUAUAAAAUAUCAUUAUUAAAGGCCCCGAAUAAGUCCAUAAAAUACACUUAUCAAUUAACAUUGAUCUUUGAUUGUAAUUGUUUAUCUAUAAAAUCAUUUGAUCUAGUUUUUACCAUUAAUAGUUCAUUUUCAUAGUUUUUAACAUUGAGAGAUAGAGUAUGAGGUCUUGGCCGUCUGACUAUUAGUAUAUCAAUGAUGCGAGUUUCCGAUUUAAGGUUUGGAAAUGAAUGGACUAUAACUUGGAAAAGAUGAAAAUGCAUUAAGAAAGCUUAAGACAUUGCGAUUAUUUGAACACUUAAAUUAUAAAUACAUAGCCGCCAUGCCAACUUAGCUUUGACACUUAACUUUUACACAAAACUCAACAUUUUAAUUGGAGUCUUAUCUUUUCAAUAUAAUUUUUUGAAUUUGUGUGUCCAAAAAAAUUUAGCAUGUAAGUGUAACAAUGAGCAAAGAUUAAUUACGUUGAAUGUAACAAAACAGUGAUGCAACAUUCGAAAACAGUUGUCUAUAUAAUUACCUGAAGUUUUAUCACAAAGGUAAAUUUUAUAAUCUUCAAAUAAUAAUAAUAAUAAUAAUAAUAAUAAUAAUAAUAAUAAUAAUAAUAAUAAUCAAAUGUAUAAAGAUAAAGGAAAGAAUUCUUUAUUAUUAUUAUUAUUAUUUUUUAAAACCCACGUCAAAGUGAUUGGCAAAAAGUUGGGAGGCGGGUUGGGAUGGAAGGGAAGAAAAUUUUAAUUUUUAUUAUUAUUCUUUAUCAUUUAAUUUUUUGUUUAUUUGUCACAACUUAUUUAAAAAAUAACUUUUUUCAACGUCAUUUUCAAAUAAUCUCUCCCACACAAACACUAAGGGUCUGUUUGAUUGCAACAAACACUAAGGGUCUGUUUGAUUGCAAAGAUGGAAUUUGAAUAGAAAGAAAACGAAUUCUAGGAAAUUAAAUUGCUUAGAAAUUGUUUUACUGGGAAUUGUUAAUUAUUGUAUUUGAUUGAUAUAAUUUUUCACGUGGAAAAUAUUGAAAUAAAAGUGUUUUUGGUAUUCGUUUGACUUUGAUUUAUAUGAAAAUUGUCAAUUAAAAAGAUAGAGUUAAUUGGUAUUGGGGAUAGAAUUUGUUUCCAUUGCCCAAAAAAAGUCAAGAAAAUCAUCUAUCUUUUGGUACUCAUUUGACUUUGUUUUACAUGGAAAUUGUCCAUUAAAGGAAAUAUUUUUUUAAAUUAGGGAUAUAAUUUCUUUUCGUUGCCCAAAAAAAAUAAAAAUAAAAAUUGACCAGCAGUCUAGAAAAUGAAUUAAUUCAUUUUCAUCAAUUUGGUGAAAAAUGGUUGAGGUGGCAUGAAAGUGGAAAAAUGAAUUGCCUAAAAAAAUAUAUCUAUCAAACAUGCAUUUUUUUUGUAGGAUUUCCAUUUUCUAUGGAAAGGGGCCUCAUCUAAUAGAGCCUAAUAAAAUUCUAACUUGUUAAUGGGUAAUUAUAUUGAGACAUCAUUUCAUCUAUUAACUACACCACAUUUUAAUUUUUAUGAACGCCUUAACUUCAUAUUUUUCAAUUAUGUCCCUUGCCAUUUUUUUUUUCUUGCACAAAUUUUUACCCUCAACUUUCUAUUAUUUUGCAAAUUGUGUCAUUGAUAGUAAUUUUCUUCAAAAAAAUUUCGUAAAAAGACUCAGCCUUUGUUUGGGAAGAAUUUAUAAAUUGUUUAAUUUAUAAAUAAUACGAGAGGUAAAUAUUUGAAUAGUACUUGUGGAUCAAUUGAAAUAUGAAAUAGAAAAUGAAGUUUGAACAAUUUACUAAUGAUUUAUAAUUUUUUCCAACUAGAGGCUUAUUUGUCUAUCUCAUUUUUUAUAAGCAAAAUACAAAAACAAAUUCAAAGUUGUGAUAAAAUAUUUGGUCAUCAUUUCAAAACACAAUGACAAAAUAUUUGGACAAAAAUCAUUAUUAGAAAUAUAAUGGGGUAAUUUAAUUAAUUAAGAAAAAUAUAUUAUUCCAAUUCACCUUCUCCUAGUUAAUUAAGGAAUGUUGUUUCGAAAAUGAAAAAUGUGAUGAAAAUUUGGGGAUAUAAAAAGAAAAAUUUUCUUGCAAUUUCUAAUCGUGAUUUAAAUAGUGUCAACUUUGAUGUAAUUAUUAUUACCACUAUUUAAUUAAUAACAAGGUAAAAUUGUUCCAUGUGACCUCGAAAGAGCAAAUGUUACGUUAUGAAGAUUGGGGACCAAUGUGCUGAACAUGUCAAUGUUCGGGAAUAUCCUCAUAUUUAUUUAAUAAUUUUUUAUUAUCGAAACGACUCUGUAAGAGACGGACAUGCAGUUGGUGAACAAGUUGAAAAAAAAUAAAAAACACUAAGAACUUUGCUACUUGUACAGUUUUCAUUACACAUUUUGACACAAUUCGCCUCGAAUCACCUUAAUGGAUUCGACACGUGUCAUGCGCCGAUGGUAGAUACCCGCUAAACACCGGGCCCACUACCAAGGCAAUUUUGACUUUCUUGACUGAAAAAUAUUUUUGACCAAAUUUUGGUAGAGUUUCCCCUAAAAUAUGAACUAAACCACCUGAACAAUAAUCAAUUUUUCUUCAAAUCCAUACAUAUAAUAUUAAUCAGGGUACACCGGUCCCUCAAAAUACAAACUAUUCAAAUAAAUAUUUACCUGUUUUACAACCAACAAUCCUCAAAUAUACUAAAGAUACUAAAUAUGCAGUGAAUCCAUGAUAACAUUUUCUAACAUAAACUAUAUAUAACCCAAGAAACAGGUACUACCUAAUCCUGAUGAAAUAGGCCAUACAACUAAUGACAUGUGGCUCAAUUCGAUGAAUUGAUAGGCUCCAAUACUGCUCAACUCGGCUACUAUCUGAUAUAGAAAAAUGUGAAAAGAAAUACGAGCUUACAGCUCAGUGAGUGAAUAAUUUGCAAAUAAUAUACUUUUCUUUUAUGCAUAUUUUCUGAAAAUUUUAGCUAUAUUAAAACUUUGAGACAUUCUGAAAUUUGGUAACACUUUUAAAACAAAACAUGAUUGCAUUAUAAAAUUCUUUGUUCUUAAUUCUUGAUAAGCAACUGCAAAGUAUAAUGACAUAAUUAAUUUGAUAUCCAUGAAAAUUUAUUAAAUAUUGCUGCUGCUCAAUACUAUAAGCUGAAAGCUUUAUUCUGGAAACUGAAUUCUAUAAUUUGAAAUCUGAUAAGCUGUAAAAAUACUGAAAAAUCACACCAAAAAGGUACCGAUGAAUAGCCCUACUCAUUUACAGAGUAAUCUUGAUGUACAAGGCAAAACCAUUCAAAUAUGAUAAUCUGAAAUCCAUAAGCUGAACUGUAAAUAGGGAAAUGAAAGCUAAAGACUAAUAAUCCACUAAAUAUUUAAAAUUCACAUCAAAAUAUACCCCAUGUAAACAUUCACUAAUGAUCUGAAAGCUAUAAAAUCAUUUGCACAUAAAUCGUCUUAUCAAUACUUUGUACACGGCCGUAACCCCUCAGUGCACAAGAUGCAAACAACAUAAUCAUCUUUAUACAUGGCUGUAGCCCCUAGUGUAUAAUAGGUACCUUUACCCACGGUCAUAGCCCCUCAGUGAAUAAGAGUUGCCCUUACACAUGGUUGUAACCCCUCAAUAUAUAGGAGUUAAAUAUAUGACUCUAGUACACGGUCGUAGCCCCUCAUUGCACUAGAGUAAGAUAAUUAUAUCAAUUAUUUUUUGAUAAUUUCAAAAAAAUCAUGCUCAUUUACUAAUUUCUCGAAAAUAAGACAUUUUAUGUAAUUAAUAUGCUUCUAUAAAAUAAAAAGAAAAUCUUUUUUUUUUUUUUUGGAAAAGUAGGUUCUCCGCUCACCAAGACAAGCUAUAGGCUAUGAAUGCCAAUAAGCUUUUCCAAUAUCUUAGUCACCACCUUGUUGAAAUUGGAAAUUAAGUAAUCCCCAAGCUUGAGCUCCAAUUCGUACUUAUCUCACCUCUUUUCUUCUUCCCUUUUUCUUCCUUCCUUUCUUAUUCUGUUCUUUUUUCUUUUUUCUUUUCCAUUUUUCUUCUCUUUCUCGGCCUUUAUGCUUCACUUCCCGAUUUUUCUAGUAUGUGUGUGUGUGUUUUUGGGAGACAAAAUGGUCAAAGGUUGAAUAUAAAGGCCCACUUACUAAAAAUUGCAAGGGAAGUCCCUCAACUCCAUUUUAAUAUAACAUUUAAUCCUUUUAACUUCCCUUAAUAUAAAUGUAAAUUCCCAACUUUAAAUUGUAUCCAAUUAAACACUCAUAUAUUGCCAAUUAUAAAAUAAACCCCAAUUUUUGAUUGACUUUGACCUUGACUAAUCAUUUUUUGAUUUUUGAUCAAGAAAAAUUGAAUUGUAACACCUUUAGUGACAAGUCCAAAAAACUAAGCUGCGUAGUAGAAGACGAAGAGAAAUGGCUGUCCAACGGGAUCUUCGGCCUUCAACCGAACGCCUUUUACAUGCAUUGAGCACUUUUACAUAGCAACUAACCCAAUAAUCAAACCCUCACUAUAUAUUACAUAUAUACUGCAUCUUCAUAUAUGUAUAUCAUGUAUUGACUGGGGAAGGAAACCUGUUUGGAAAUUUUGUUGUUCCUUUUGAAUUUUAGGACUCUAAUAAUUUCAAAGAUGCACUCAAUGUUAGACAAUAUGAUAAUUGUAAAGCGUCUUCUCUUUCGAAGACUCCAGUUGGUUGUAAUGUUUUAGUAUAAAUACAUUAUUAAUAUAUCAUUAUUUUGACAUCCAAACCUAGCACUUUCAACCCAUUUAUUUUUUUCAUGGCAUCAUAGCCAAAUUAAACUUGCACUUUUUUUCCAGGUUCAUAAAUCCGCAAAUGGCCUCACCUGAAACAAAUUUCUCUCCCCUCAAAUUUGAAAGCAAUGGCCCAAAUGGAUCCUCUAACCUACGUUAUCUUCUACCUGCCUCCAUCAAGCUUGAAGGACCUGACUAUCUAGGAUGGCAAUCGUUGUCUCUACCAUUUUCCAAACAAUUGUGGUCAAUGAUGGCUCAUAUAAAGCAUUAGUUAUAGACACUUGCACAAGGUAGUUGCACCAUUUAUGACUAUCUUCAAAUUGCUAAGUGCUAAGGCUCUUGCUGAUCAAAGGACUGCAACGGGUUUUGUCCUCCAAUACUAUCAUUUUGCACUCAUUUUUAAUAAGCAGAAGAAUAGUCUCUCACAGAAAAAAGAGACCUCCCUGCAAACGAAUUGGCCUACACCAAAUACUCGAAAUGAUGGUUCCUCCAAUGUCCCGCAGUAUACACAAGCGUCAAUUCCGAAUCAAGGACAAUAUGCACUACGAAAUUGACCCAUAUGUCAAAUAUGUGGGAAUACAGGUCAUACUGCUCUUGACUACUUCCACAUAUUUUAUUUUUCAUACCAAGGCCGACAUCCUCAUGCCAAGCUUGCAGCAAUGGUCAUUGAAUCUAACGGUGCUUAUAGGCACCAAGUAUGGCAUGCUGAAGGUUCGGCCAUUUUGUUCUAUAUAAAGGCCCAUUAGAGAUGAAUUAUGCUCCUUUGCCAUAUAAAUGGUGACAAAAGUAGUGAUUGAUUAGAGAUUGCAUUAUUAGAUGCAAAGCCAACAAGACGAUGUUGGGUCCCAUCAAAAAAGGGAAAAGUAGAACCCGACAAAGGGAGAAAAAAAUAAUCCAGCUAUUUAUCUAAACAUUUUAACUUUUUAUUUUUUAACUACACUUCGACCCAAGUUUAGUUUCGUUUCAACCCAUUAGCUAUUGAGGUUCUUGAUCUUUUCUUUUCAAUGCCAGUCUAAAUUUUAAAACACUAAUUUUACUUGUAAAGUCUCGACCACCUUGAUCACUGUCACAAGUUAGCUUCCGUCUGAACCCCAUAUUUCAAUUUAUAAUUUCUGAAAUAUUAUUUUUUUGAAGAAUGUGUGUGAAAAGGGAAAAAAAAGGUUUUUAAUUUGUGUAAUAUUAUUUUAUAGAAGAUUGUGUGAUUGAAAAUAAGAGAGAAAAAAUUAUAAUUUGAAAUAAUGGGAGCCAAACGGGGGCUUAGUUGAAUUGAAUAUGCCUUUAAUAAGAAACUAGCACACACUUGGAAAUAAAACAUAUCCUAUCAUAUUCUGCAUAUAUAAAAGAACGAAACUUUGCUGGACACAUGCCGCAAUUUCACACCGUCUUCUUUUUUUUUUUUUUUCUUCAUUUCAUUGUUUCUUCAUUUUCCCACGCCAUCGGCCAUACCUCUUUCCUUCUCCAUUUUUCCACGUUAUCGUCAUACCUCUUUAAUUCUCCAACACAGUCACCCAUUUACCCAAGAAUACAUGACUUCUGCACGGUGCUACCCUGAUUCAUGAAUUAAAGUUUUUCUCUCAUUCUCUUCCCUAAUUGUAAACUUUCUCUGGACAUUGAUCAGAAUUUUAGCCGCCUCAUUUGCCUACUUCCAGGUAAUGAUUUUAAGAAAUGGAAAUAGUGACGCUGGAGUAAUUAGUCGGAUGCCAGGUGUGUGCUCUUCUCCGACUUCAUUUUAAAUUUUAAAAUCUCUCUCUUUUUUUUUUUGUAUAUUUCAUUUUUCAUUUGUGUUAUAGGACGGUAAUUUUUUUUUUAAUAAAUGAAAACCUGGCUGGGAGAAAUUUUUUUUUUUAAAAAAAAAGCAAAAAAAAUUAAUAAUAAUAACAUUUUUUUAGGGAAAAAAAACAUGGCUCUUUAGCUCCUUGCGUGAACGGAGCAAAAUGCUCCAUGUAGCAGUGCAUGAUGCUCCAUGCAUGCACGGAGCAUUGGAGAAAUUUAUUAUUAUUUUUAUAUAUGCUCAUUCAGAUUUUCCUUUUUUCUUUUUUUUUUUUGUUUUGUUUUCCUUUCUAAUUUUUGUGUGUGAGUAUAUGUUUAUUGGAUUUUGUUUAUUGUUAGUCAGUUGUAAGCGUCCUGUUACCAAGAGUACAAAAAAUGAUCUUAAUAUUAUGUUUCAUAAAAUCUGUAAAUGCUAAAAGGUACUAUGGGAUGCAGAUAUGUUUAUAUGUGGCAUGCUUUAGCUGGAUACUGGGAAGGAGUUCCCCUUCUUUUGAAUCACUAAAGAAGUACAAUCCUAAGCUUGCUUAUCCAGUUCGAUCAUUGGGAAAUGCACCAUAAGUUCCACCAUAAGCUCUAAUAAUUGUACGAAGUAUUUUCUUCAUUUUAGAUUGUAAGAGCAGGCAUAUUUAUACUAAUCAAUGUCUUUAUAUUUCCUUUUGGAAGGCUCCUAAGGUUGAUGAGUUGAAGUUUCUUGCAUCCCAACUUUACUAUAGCAAUUCCGAAGGUUUGGUUUCAACUGGAAAAUUGAUCGAGGUAAAAUUUCAAAGAUACAUUGCUUCCAUAAAUGUUUUGUUCAUGCAAUUUCAUCAAUAUAAAAAGUAUGAUCAUUGGAGCUACAUAAUAACUUAAAAGAAGGGGGCAUAAAGUAAAUGUCUUGCGAGGUUAUGGGUGUUGGGAUUUGAAUCCAAAAUCACCACCAUAUAUUAAUGUGUGGAAUUAAUUGGUCCUAAAUAACUAUGUUAACUAAAUGCCAAAGUAUAUUUUUUUGUUCGCUUAUUUAGUUGAUUAAUUAGUGCAAUUACAUUCAAGACAAUAGUAUCUCCAACUUCGAUUAAUUCUAUUUGGGAGUGCUUGAUAAAUGCAAUUUAUGCACUUAUUUAGGCCACAUUAUUAAACUUUAAGUCAUUCAAUUAUUAAUUUAUAUUUAACUUUGAUCAAUUUUCUUUUUAUUUUCAGUGAUGGACUUGCCGGAAGCAAUUGGAGAGAAAAGGACGAUUAUCGAAUAAAAAUGCAAUUUUGGGAUCAAACUCAACGUGCUAGAAAUUGAAAGACUUAAGUGCAUUAAUUAUAAGGAAGUGAGGCCUUGAAAGAUAAAUUGUAACUAAUUGGGCCUCAAAUAAAUGGAAAGUGAAAAAGAAUACUUGGGCCUCAAUAAUUGUAGAAAAUGGGCUGCCUUGGGAUUUAUAAAAGAUAGAUAGAAAACGGCAGCCAGGAGAAAAAGGAAAACGGGAGAAAAACCUAAAAGAGAAUUAGUCUUCUUUGGGGAGUCAACAAAAACGGCUGCUAGGGGGGGCGGGGAGAAAAGAGGAGAAUUUGGACGGCUGCUGGUAGAAAGAAAUUGAGUAACAGUAGGGCUACCAAACUAUAUUAUAUAUAUACACAUUGAGAGGCCGCUAACGGAGUUGCUGGGGAAUUAAAAAGGCAGCUGCUUGGAGGAAAAUAAAAGUUGGCUUUGAAAGUCAGGCACUGCAGGCUGUUGGAAAAAAGGAAGGGAUGAAUUCUUGCGGCUUUGCUUUGGAAUUCAAUCACAGUGGCAGCCAAAUUAAAGGAAGCAAAACGGGAGAAUAAUCUAGAGAAAAUUGGUCGUUUUUGGGUAACAGUAGGGCUGCCAAACUAUAUUAUAUAUAUACACAUUGGGAGGCCGCUAACGGAGUUGCUGGGGAAUUAAUCUAUAGACAAAAAGGCAGCCAAUUGGGGGAUUAAUACACAUUGAUACACACGGAACCGAGAGGAAGAAAAACCAUAGAAAAGCUGGUUGGAAAUAAGAGAUUUCACAUUGGAUUCCAAGAAAGGCUGCCGGCUGAGUUUUUUGUGCAACUUUCUUCAAUAAUUGUGCAAGGAGCUUGAAAAUUGAAUCACUUUCCGUCGAUUUUCGGUGAUUUCCUUCCACUUUUAUUUGUUUAAUUCAACAUGAUGCUAGGCUAAAUCUUUACAUAUUUGCGCACCAUUAGGACAAUAAAUUGCUUAUUCGUAGUGUUGGAAAACUCAUGAUAGGUAGAGCACUAUUAUUGGGACACACGGACAAUAAAUAUUAGGAAUAAUAUUUGUGACGUGUAUGAUCAUACGUGAUAAUCUUAAAUGUCAAUGCAUGUUUGCUAUAUGAAUUCGGACUAGGAAUAGGAUCGUCUUGUGGUAACCAUAUAUUUAUUAUAUCUUAGAAGAGAAUAAUAAAUAAAACUGAAAUUAUCGAUUGUCGCAAUUGCAAAAAAUUUACGUAGUUAUUACUGGUUGAGAAUUAGAAUUAAGUAUUGAUCAGUGGCAUCAAAAAUCUAACACGUUGACACGUUUGUUUUUUAAACCAACUUUCAUUGUUUUUGCAAGUUUUAGUUAUAAAAAUUUGUUAGCUAUUCAUUUGAUCCUUUUUUUUUUUAAUUACAAACACGAAUUUAAAUAUAUCAAAUAUACCAGAAUUGAUCAUUGUUCCCUGUGGGACGAUAAUUCUGCCAUCAUGAUUAUUACUUGUACAACGAACCCAUAUGCUUGCGGGAUUUUGACGAACAAUGCUUAUUAACUCUAACUUUAACCUAUGUUUGUCUCUUUCUUUUCUAGUGCAUUAAAUAUUAGCAUCAAGUUUAGAUUAAAUUGAUUUCUUGUGAAUUUGAUUGCAUUAUUACUCCUUGGAAUGUACUUAGCUUUUACCUUGAUAGCGUCUUUUAGGUGUAGAAUUCUUUAAUUCAAAUAUUUUGGUUAAAGCUUUAUAUGAAAUAAUGUUUCUGUUAUAUAUUAUUAUUUUAUUUCAAUUAUUUGUGAGUCAGAGAUUGCAAGCAUAUAUGAGAAUAUAGGAAAUGUGCAAGAAACUCAAGCUUCUUUACUGUGAGAAAGAGCAUCUCCCAAUUUCAAGCUUGACACUUUUUGAAAUUUAUUUUUCUUCUAUGUUCAGAUGGUUGUUUUAUUUUUUUUUCCUUUACUUUAUCACAAUUCAACUAAAGAUACUAAGGAUAUGUUUAAUUGCAAGCAUGAAAUUUACAUGAAAAGAAAAUAAUUUCUGGGCAAUUGAAAAUUGUCAAUUAUAGUGUUUAAUUGAUUUUAUUUUCAACCUAGAAAAUAUUAUACUUGUCAAUUUUUUAUUAAUAGGUAAAUAGGAGAGAGAGGGAGUAGAUGAGAGAGAAAUAGAGAAUGAAUUACCUGGAAAAUAAAAACCUACUCUUGUUUUGAAGGAAAAUAUGGUCAUGUGACCAAAAGUAGGAAAAUAUUUUCCAUGGAAAAAAAUCAAUCAAAAUAGCUAAGAAGUAGGAAUUUGGGUAGAAAAAUAUUGGCAAUUAAAUGCACUAUUAACUUAUAUUAAAACUUUAUCAUGAAGAUUAUAAGGCAAAAGAUUUUGUUGGAGCCAGUUAGAAAAUGAGUUAUGUAGUAUAUGAUAAUCGCGCAACUAUUACUUGCACGAAAUGUUCAAAUUCUCUGAAAGUGACUAUUAAUUAGGAAAUGAGAGAUUUACUUUUAUGUAAAUCUUAUAGGAAUAUAGAAAAGUCGUCUAUCAAUGAAUUAUAUUGUGUUAAAUAUUUGUACAUAUUGACAUUAAAUAAGUUAACUUCUUCUUAAUGGAGGCAUGUUGACUAUAAGCCAUUGGAUAAGAGAGUUCAUUUGAUGAUUGUGCAAAAGAGACUAAGAGCUUAUUUGGGAGUGAUUUUUCACCCCCAAAAAUUGAUUUUUUGAUCCUUAUUUCACUAUUCCAACCGUGAAGUUUAACUACUUCUCUCACGGGUGGCCCCCACUUUUUUCCUAACGGUCACAAAAUCAAUUCUCAAAAUCACUCUCAAACGGGGCCUAAGAAGAAAUUACAGUAUGAUAUACUCGAUCUUGUAAUGACUAGUUUUGAGACUAAUCAAAUUCAUUGCCUUUGUGACCAGAUUUGUUGGCGGUGUGUUUAUCUUGAAAUUGUUAAAUUUGAUUCUUUGAGGAUAUUUAUAUACAUGAACUGGGACCUUGUCCAAAAAAAGCUUUCUCUAAAGCUACUGAUUAGCUUGGGUAAGAUGAUAUUUUAUUAUUUUCAAUUUUUAAUCGGUCCAUGUUUUUCUAUUUAUUUUAUCAAAUUUAAUCCAUUAGUACUUACUAGCAUGUGAAUAUAUGAAAUUGUACAGUAAAUAGAAAGUUCUACCAUAUAAGAUAUUGUAAAAAAUUGGUAAUAAACCAUCGCUUACACUUUCUUUAAUUACGACUUUAUCCUCCUCCUAGCAUAGCCUCCUGCUUUGAUCGAAAAAUUGACUAAGGACAGAAGCAAGCUACAAGCAUUAGCAACUGCUUUCAUUUUAUGGAAAUGGGAUCCCCAAUAGCUAGAGACAAAAGAUUCAUAUGAGAAAAGAUAAGUAAACGGGCCUCCACCUGAGCCUCCAAAGAUAAAGGUACAUGAAUAGCCAUUUGAUCCCCAUCAAAAUCUGCAUUGAAUUCCUUACUAAUGGAUGUAAACAAAUAGCAUGCCCCUUCACUAAAACGGGCUGGAAUGCCUGUAUGCCUAAUCUAUGCAGAGUGGGUGCUCUAUUCAGCAAUACAGGAUGCCCCUGCAUAACUUCCUGAAGUAUUUCCCAUACAAUCAGUUCUUUUUCCUGAAUUUUACUCUUAGCAACUCCUAUGUUCGAAGCAAGAUGUUGUUUAAUUAGACCACGAAUUACAAAUGUCUGGAAAAGCUCUAUUGCUAUUUCGCGCAGCAAUCCACAUCGAUGUAAUGAAAGUGAAGGACCAAUGACGGAAUGACCUGAAUAUUGGGUUAUCCAUUUUUAGUAAGUUACUAUUUAGCCUCAUUAUUUGAAAUUUUAGAGUUAUGCUAUAUAGCCACAAUGGGUUGCAACCCUAGUUUAGUUAAUCCUAGAUGGUAGGCUAAAUGAAAGGUGAAAUUCAAUGACUUAUUUAAUUCCACUUAUUAUUUAAUGUCAAAUUAACGCCACCUAGAUUGGGGUUGUAACCCUAGUGGGGUUAAUAGGAUUACUCAAAAUUAUACGGUUGGGAUAUUGUUGUUGUUGUUUUUUUUUUUUUUUAAUUGUGUGAUAAAAAAAGAAGAAAUUUUUUUUGGGAUUAUGUAUAAUAUUAUUUUAUUGAAGAAUAUAUAUUUGAUAAGAAGAUAGAGAAAAAUGAAUUAUAAUUUUAAUAGGGCCAAACACGGGUUAAAUAAUGUAUGCAAGUUGCAAAGCUUGUACAGAUUGUUUUCUCAGAUGGUAAUAGUCAUUAUCUUUAAUCAUACCAUUCUUUUUUCUAUAAUAUUUAAUUGUAUUUAUUAUGUUGGAAAUUUUAAUGACAUGUAUGGUGAACAGCAUUUGGUAGAUCAACUUUUUUUUCGAAGUACGUCAAUUUUGUUUGGCAAUAGUUCAUCGUGUUCCCAUCAAACUUCUUCGUCCAAUGCUUUGUUUACUAACUCAAUUAGAAUCAAUUUUACUAGGGAUGUGUUAGUUGUUGAACAAGCCAAUUUGCUGUAUUAUAUAUGUAGGUUCACUUUUAGUACUCAUCCGGAAACCAGAUAUGUAAUAAAAAUAUUUUUGAUCUUCAUGUUACCAAUAAUAUAAAUGAUUGUUUUAAUGUAUCUUGUUAUUGUAAAGUAGAACACUUUGUUGUGAUAUUUGCACAUUGAGACGUCCAAGGUCAUUUAUACUUAAGUCGGCCUUUAUAAUUUGUUGUGACGUUUCUGUACUUUUUCAAAAGGUUAGACUGCGAUUUUUCUCCCAUUGUUGUUAUUUAAAUGCUAAUGUAAUGAGAGAGAAAUGUCUCACCUUUACUUAAUGAAUUUCUUCUUUUUCGUUUUUUAAUUAAAUUUAAAAUAAUGAAUUAUGAAAAUUGGCUUCAUAUGCACCAGCCUUUGUGCAAGGAAGGCAUGUGUGAUGGCUAAGAUGAACAUAUCUUCGUUUGCUUAUUUUCAUAAAUUUAUAAUUAUGCUACUCUUCAAAUACACUCUUAAGCACUUUGAAGCUAUGUUCUUAGAAUUUAACUCAUUGAGUUGUUGUUUGUCUAUCAUUCUCCGAAAAUUCUUUUUUUUUUCUUUUUAAACCCAUUUUCAAUCAUACAUUAUCAUAAUGAAAUAUUUUGCAUGUGAAUUCAAAAAUUUUCUUACCUUUCAACCACACAUUAUUAGAAAAAUUACUAUUUCAAAACUUAUUCUCCUAAAAAAUUCUUUCUAAUAGGCAUUAAAUAAGUGUUGAUGUUGAUAUAAUGAGAUUGUAUUGUUCUUCUGUUGUCAAAAUAUGGAUUCUAAUGUUCAAUUUGAAUUUAAAUAAUUAAUAUAUUAUACUUUUACAACUGGAUAAAAUAUUGAAAGGUGUUUUAAUUCAAAAACUAUGGGAUUUGUAAUAUCACGCAUUCUUUGUGAAAAAUGGUAAAGUUUGAUUCUUUUGUUCUUUUGCAUUACAAAUGACACAUGUUCCGAAUAAGGUGUCUCCCAAUGCAACGGUUUUGUUAAUAGUUGGACGUCACAUUGUGGUUCCAUUGUUGUAGAUGACAUAGCUCCGAAGUUCAUAGCGAUUUUGGAGAGUCGACUAGAUAGCUUUGAAAAUGGCCCAAAUAUUGAAGAUAGAGAGUCCGUGUGUUCGUUGUUUUCCAAAUUGUAUACAAUUGAUAACAUCAUCUAUCAAUUGUUAUAGUAAAUUCUUUAGAUUGAUUUUAAUGUAUUAAUUCAUGGAACACUUUACAUUUGUGUUGUGGCAUCAAUUUGCUCGAUUAUGUUAGGAACCUUAGUUCAUAGCAGCGAAUUUUUUAACUUUAAAACGAUAGAUUGUUUAUUUUUUUAUUCAAUUAGUCACGUGCUUGGAAACAUGUCAUUAAGGGCAGUGUUCAAAUUCUGAACAUCUUGUAUUCAGGAAAGAGAUGUUAUCUUUUCAUCAAGAUAUUCAGUAAAUAUCUCUCGUCUAUGGAUAAAUAUUUUUUUCUGAGUACAAGGUAUUCAGAGCUUGGCCAUUGCCCCCAACAUUAUAUGUUUUCAACUAUCAAUUGAAUAAAAAUAAAUAAUCCAUCAUUUUAAUGAUAGUAAAUUCACUGUUAUAAACCAAGGUUCCUAGCAUAAUCAAGUAAUUUUGUAAUUCUUAUUGAUUUCACGACACAAAUGUAAAGUGGUUUAUGAAUGAACACAUUAAAAUCUAUCUAAAGAAUUUACUAUAACAAUUGACAGAUGCUGUUAUCAACUGUAUACAAUUUAAAAAACAACGAAUGCAUACUCUAUCUUUAAUAUUUUGGUCGUUUUCAAAGCAUUGCAGUUGACUCUCCAUAAUCUCUGUGAACUUUGGAGCUAUGUCAUUGACAAAAGUGAAACCCCAAGGUGUUGUCCAACUAUUAACAAAAUCAUUAUAUUGGGGUAAAAGAAUCAGACUUACCAUAUUUCACAAAGAAUGCAUGAUGUUACAAAUCCCUCAUUUUCUUAAUUAAAGUUCCUUCCAAUGUUUUAUCCAGUGGGAGAAGUAUAAUAUAUUGAUUAUCUAAAUUCAAAUUGGAUAUUAGAAUUCAUGUUUUGACAACGGAAGAACAAUACAAUCUCAUCAUAUCAGUACCAGCACCUAUUUGAUGUUUAUUAGAAAGAAUUUUUUUUGGGAAAAAUGAGUUUUGGAAUGGUUUUUUUUUUUUUUUGUUGAAAGGUAAUAAAAUAUUUUAUUGUGAGAAUGUGAUUGAAAGUGAGUUUUAAAAAAGAGUUUUUUGGGGAACGAUAGACAAAUAAGAGUUAAAUGCCAGUAAUCACAGCUUCAAAGUGUUCUAGUAUUUGGGAAUGAUAUCAUUAUAAAUUUAUGAAAAUAAGUAGAUAAAGAUAUUUUCAUUUUGGUCUUUUCACAUGCCAAAGGUUGAUGCAUAUGGAAGCCAAUUUUAAUAAUUUAUCAUAUUAAAUUUAAUAUAAAAGAAGAAAUUCACGAAGUAAAGGAAAGACAUUUCUCUCUCAUUAUAAUAUCAUUUAAAUAAUAACAAUGGGAGAAAAAUCGUGGUAGAACCUUUUGAAAAGGUACAUGAAAUUCACGACAACUUAUAAAUGUUGACUUCAGUAGAGACGACUAUUGAUAUCUCAAUGUGUAAAAUCUCACAACAAACUACUCUACUUUACAAAAAAUAUGGUACAUUAAAACAAUUAUUUAUAUUAUUUGUAACAUGUGGAUCAAAAAUAUUUUUAUUAUAUAUAUGUAUUAUAAGUGAAACUGUGUUUAUGAUACAACAGAUUGGUUUGUUCAACAGCUAAUACAUCCCCAGGAAAAUUGAUUCCAAUUGAGUUAGUAAACAAAGAAUUAGGCGGAGAAGUUUAAUGGGAACACAAGAACCAUUGCUGUACAAAAUUGAUAUACUUUGAAAAAAAAGUUGAUUAGCCAAAUGCUUUUCACCAUACAAGCCAUAAAAAUUUCCUGCAUAAUAAAUACAAUUGAAUAUUAAAGAAAAAUGAAUGGUAUGAUUCAAUAUAACGAUUGUUUCCAUCUCAGAAAAACAAGCUUUGCAGCGUGCAUCAUUUAGCCUAUGUUUGGCCCUACUGAAAUUAUAAUUUUUUUUCUCUAUCUUCUUAUCAACCAUAUAUUCUUCAAUAAAAUAAUAUUACACGUUAUCCUAAAACAUUUUUUCUUUCUUAAUCACACAAUUUAAAAAAGAAACACUAUUACAAAGGGUGUAUAAUCAAAGCAGGAGGCUAUGCUAGAAGAAGAGUAAAGUCGUAAUUAAAGAAAAUGUAAAUGACUUGAUAUGUUAGAACUUUUCAUUGAAUGCACAAUUCCAUAUAUUCAGAGUACUAACGGAUUAAGUUCGAUAAACUAAAUAGAAAAAAAAAUGGACCGGUAAAAGAUUGAAAAUAAGAGAAUAUCAUCUUACCCAAACUAAUUAGUAGCUUUAGAAAAAGCUUUCUUUGGACAAAGUCCCAGUUCAUGCAUAUAAAUUUCCUCAAAGAACCAAAUUUAACAGCUUCAAGGUGAAGACAUUGUCAACAUAUUAUCUGGUCACAAAGGCGAUUAAUUUGAAUGGUCUCAAAACUAGUUAAUACAAGAUCGGAUAUAUCAUACUGUAAUUUCUUCUUAUUCUCUUUUGCAAAAUCAUCAAAUGAACUCUCUUCGCCAAUGACUUGUAGCACCCGAACUUUUUCGAGAUCGGAGUUAGAAUGCCUCCACUCAGAAAAAUUAACUUAUUUAAUGCCAAUAUGUACAAAUGUUUAAUGGCGGCCUUUUUUACAUUUCUAUGAGAUUUAGAUUUAUGUAAAUCUUCCAUUUCCUGAUUAAUGAUCACUUCCAGAGUAUUUGCACAUUUUGCAUAAGUAAUAAUUGCGCGAUUAAUAUCCACUGCAUAGCUCCUUUUCUAAUUAGCUCCAACAAAACCUUUUGCUAUAUAGUCUUCGUGAUAAAGUUUUAAAUAUAAGUUAAUAUCUUUAGUUGAAUUGUGAUAAAGUAAUGGAAGAGAAUAUAACAACCAACUUAACAUUUAAAAAAAAAAGAAUAAAUUUCAAAAAGUGCCAAUCCUUAAAUUGGGAGAUGCUCUUCCCCCACAUUAAAGAAGCUUGAGCUUGUUGCACAUUUUCUAUAUUCUCAUAUAUGCUUGUGAUUCACAAGUAAUUGAGAUAAAAUAAUGAUAUAUAAUAUAAACAUUCCAUCCUACAUAUAAAAGAGUGGAAGAAUUGCCGGACACAUGUUGAGCCAAGCACUUGACGAUAUUCAGUUAGAUCACAUCCAGGUGAGCCAUCAUCAAGCUUGAGCGUUUCUGAAAUAGAUAUUGGGGUACUAACUUCCUUUGCCUCUUGCAUAUUAGUUCGUUGAAGAAGCUCUAGAAAAUACUUUCUUUGAGAUAAGAACAAACCAUUGAAGGUCCGAGUUGUUUCAACACCUAAGAAGUAGCCAAGUUUAUUGAGAUCUUUGAGAGAGAACCUAUUAGAUAGCUAACCGGUGAACUCUUGAAGAGUUGGAGGAUGAUUGCUGGUGAGUAUAAUGUCAUCUUGGAGUAUUACGCUAGAUUCCUAUCUUAUGAUGAUUUCGAUAUUCCUUUUCCAAUUGUCAUGCUAUUAUCAAUAUUAAGGUGAUAAUUAUAGAUAGGUUUGAUCAUUGACGACUUUAUAUGAGAAGACCGAUUGUCAACAUGGCCAAUUGUUGAAAUUGGUUCUACCAUGAAAUGUUGUGCCUAGUGCUCUAUGGGUGCUACUGAUCCGUCCUUAUAACAUGUGAUGUCAAUCUUCUAUUGAUUUGUGACUUUGUUUAAAGCUACAACACUUUUUACAUUGCAAAUGUUGUUUGUUCUUUUCUGAUAAUAGUGAUUCUUCCUAUUUCUUAAAAUUCUUCUGAAUGUUGGUAGUGUCUAUUGUUUUAACAAUUUCAGAAAGUAAGUUCUUCUUGGAUUUUUUGCUAAGUUAAUAAUAUAUAAUAGGGCAAGCCAAAAAUGAGAAAUGAUUGCUUAUUCUCUAAGUAACUUUAACAAUAUUGCCUAACUAAUUAGCUAAUCAUAUUCUAUUAACUAUUUAUAUGUUUACAGUUGAGAAUGUUAAGCAACAUUGUUUUCCUGUUUUCCUAAUGCUCUUAAUUGUCCCAUGCUGGAAGAGAACGACUUCAAAAAUGACAGUGUGAGUUGCUUUUGAUUUCUUUUUAUUUUUAGGGCUAGAGAAAGUCUACCUAUUAUUUCACACAAUUACAAAAUUCUAUAGUUCUAUGGGAGCCAUAUGUGGUGUUGGUGUGGUUAAGGGAUUCGGAAAGACCCUGUACAUGACCAAGGGUGGUGGUGCUAAUGUAGUAGCCUACAGUUACACCAAGGGUGAUGCCCUAGCUGCUGAAAUUGUCGUUACCUCUGUGCUCGUUUACACUAUUUUCUCUACUACUGAUGCCAAACAUAAAGCUAGAGACUCACAAGUUCCUUUAAGCAUUCCACUUGUCUUUGUAGGCCUGUUUCUCUUGCCAUUAUUGAUUAGACUUAAGCGAAUAUAAAUCAUUCUUCAUAUUAGGGGUGUGUUUGAGCCUUAUUAUUUGGCAUUAUAAUGAGAUGAAUUGUGUUUUUUUCUUUUAAAUGAGUGGUUGAAAUUUUUUUGAUUUACAUGUAAUAUUAUUUUAUUAAAGAUUGUGUGGUUAAAAGUAGGAGAGAGAAAAUUUUAAUUUAAUGUAAUAAGAAAUAAUGGGGCUCAAACGGGGGCUAGGUAUGAUUAAAUGUGAUUGAGCUUGAACAAGAAUUGUCUUCUGUAUCUAUAAGAAUCUCUGUUUAGGUUUGGAUUUGAGUUUAUGUAUAUUCUAUAUAUUUAUUUUACUCUAUUUAUAACAUUUCUUGAUUACUAAGAUAAAUCAAUAUCUUUGGCUGAUGAGUGUGUGUUAAUAGAAGUGGUUCCUUGCCUAUCAUAUUCUCAAACGUCCUUGUUCGGAGCAUAUUUGGCUAAGCUUAAGCUUUACUUAUAUUUAUUAGGUAAAUAAGUAAGUUGUGUAAUAAACAUAUUUUUUAUUGGUCAAGGUUGUAACUUGUUAUUAUUUGAAAGUAAGAAAGGUAAACACGUUUGUAAAUAAUGUACUUUUUUAAGCAUAGCCAAGUAUUCAAAGAGUUAUUAUUUUCCAUGAUUUUAGAUAUUUUUGUUUUGUUUUUUAGUGUUGAUUUAUGUAUUUUAUUUAAUCGGUCAACAUGAAGAUGUAAGAAAGGUUGAAUACAGAGUAUGGAAUCCGUUCCACUCGAAAUUGGCAGUUGCCAUUCUUGGGGGAGUCAAUGAUAUUUGUCUAAUAUUUUAUUUAUAUCUAUUACCCUGAUAACAUGUGUGUUUUUGUCAUUAAUGCUGAUGCAUUUUAUAUAUCCAAUAAUCUUAUCUGCACAAUUUAUUUUCUGGUCUAUUUUGUUUUGAACCUGGUGCUCGGUGUCUUUUAUCUAGGAGCUACUUCAAGAACAAUUAUUUCUCAUGUAUCUAAUCUGGUUGGCCCUACAAGUAAUUUUCUUUUUCAGAGCUCUAUCAUUUCUCCAUAUAUUUCAUGGAGUGGUGUUUAUGAAAUCCUAUUUGUAAUUACGUUGUUUGCAGAUUGGAAUGGUAUACACAAUGAAAUUUUCUCACAUAAGCAAUAGGGACUUGGUCAACAUGGCGAAUAAGAGGGUGAAUGUUAUUCCUUUUUUAAAAUCAUUUUCGCAAUGAACUUUUCUUGUUUAUAUGCAUCUUUAUUUUGUAUGUAUAAUUUGGAAAUUGAUGAAUAUGAUCAGGGUUUUUCAUUAACUUCUUUUGCAUAUUGAUUUUGUUAGUUGGAAAUUUCACAUUAAUUAGCUCUAACUCUCUCCGUUGAGGCGUUAGUUUUAAGGCUCCCCUUUUUAAAGUAAAUCUUUACCUGGUCAUUUUGUCGUCUACUUUACGGUCAAGUGAUUUUCUUAUGGAUUUUGUUUGUUAGUGCCAAUUUAUUGGUUGUAGCGACAUGGAUUAUGAUUUUGCGUUAGAUUAAUUAAACUUUCAUUGAAGUAACUUAAAUAUUUUAUUGGGGUCUCUUUUCUUACUUAAUAUUGAUGUAUAAUUGUAUAUGAUGAGGGUCUUCUACUUAACUUCUUCUGCAUAUUAAUUUUGUUAGUUGAGAAAUUCGUGUUAAUUAGUUCUCUCUCAAUAUAGUUUUUUCUAUGUCAUUCUUAAAUUCGUGUCAAUUCAAGUUAUUACUAAUUUUUUGGUUCUUGAAAAAAGGUUUCUGAUUUUGCAUAUGAUUAGCCUUUCAUCUGAUGUAAACUAUUAUAUGUGAGGGAUUCAGAAAAAAAAUUGUAAUAUGUGGGCUCUUCUUUAGUUAUGAUUAUAUUCUGCUCGUUGUCAUGCCUUUUUACCACAAAAUAUGUUUGGUAUCAUUAUAUAAGAAACUGAUUCUGAAUUUUCAGUUCUGAUUUUAAAAUUCGUCUGCGCCCUUGUGUAAUUCAUUCUUUUAUAGUUUGACGAUGCCUAUGCUCUGUGGGUCUUUUUGUAUAGAAUGAGAGAUUAGUGGUUUAAACUGUUGGUUUUUAUGUAACUGAAUAUUAGGUUAAAUGCCAUCUUUUAUUAUGAAUUCUGAAUAAAAUCGUUUGCCAACUUUAUUACCCAUUACCUAAUUGCCUUUGUUGCAUUGUACAUGUGCUGAGAACACAUUAUUCUAGUUUUGAAACCCAUAUUCAUAAAUUAUUUAAGAUUAUGGUUGUGAAUUCAACAUAAUUGCACUAGUUACAUAGUGAUGUGGUAUAAAGGAUUCUUUUGCCUUUCCCUCAAUAAUUAGUUUGAUGCUCUUAAUUAAUGUAGUAAUGUUUUAUUGCAUUGUUGUUCCAGAAAGGGUCGGGGCUCUGCAUAUGGCCAAGGAUGAGACAGCUUUGGCUAACUCGCCACAAGGUCUUGAAUGGCAUUGAUAAGAGCCUCACAAAUCCAUACACAAGAGUCUUUCUUAGACUUGGUUUUUACUUAAUUGGGAAACGAAAUGUGGCCUGCAGUACUCCAGCAUGGUUAUGUACUAUUAUGGUCUGAGAGUUUAGGCAAUUCGUGCACUAGAUUGCUCAGUUUGUAAUGUUUGAUUCAUGUUCCGAUACUUGUUUUGGAUCAUUUGAUUAUUGUGAUGUAUUACUUUGAAUGCCCGGGUAUCCCCAGAGUAGUUGUACCCACAAUUUUGAUUAAUAUAAUUUAUUUACCUGAUCCAAAAAGAAAAAAAAAUAGGA